CGCCGCCCUACCAGGGGGCCCCCGCCGCGGCUGCCGGGAUCGGGGAGACCCGCCCCGCCGUCCCGCCCCCGCCCCCGGCCCCGCCGCACCUAGACCGAAACAGCGCCGCACCCCAGAGCCAGCGGCAGAUGAACCCCGCAAUAAACGUUAAUGAGACUCCCACCCCCUUCGCAUCUCUCCCCGCGGGGAGCAGGCUGGCCGGGAGCCCCAGCUCCCUCCGAAAGGCAGGGGGGACAGGGGGCCCUCCCGGGGCGCUGAGUUUCGCUCGGGAAAACCGUUCGGACUUAAAAAACAUGACGUUGUGCUUUUUCUUGCUGUUAGGGAUUAGCCAUUAUUAGUAUUAUUCGGCUGGUGGACUCAGAGAUUCACCGUGUUGUUAUUCAAACACUGGCUGCAGAGAGGUUUAAGCAUCCGUAGCCCCCUUUAAACCCUGCCCAUUAAGCACUGAAGCAGCAAUAAAAAGAGAAUUAAACUGAACCUUGCAUGGACAUGGAUGCAUCCAGCCGCAGCAACUUUAAUAAUAAUCAUGUUCAGGUGCAUAAAAUAGUUACGGGGUAAAUCCUUUCGCAUCUUGCCACCGUGAUUGAAUCUGAAGGAAAUCAGAUGUGCGAGAGUGCUCGAAACGUGCUAAGCUAGAGGAUCUUGCAAGAGUUUAAACGCCAUCGCGGUGGGGAUGAGAUCGAUGGGGAGAGGAAGGAAGGAAGGAAGGAAAUGGAUGUUAUCUGUCCGAGGGCGCUCCGGCAGCCUCCCCACCCGCCCAUCUCCGACAGCACCUUCCGCGGCCUCGCUUCGCGCUCCCUCCGCCCGCGGCCGCCGGGCCACCCGCUCCACCGCCACCGGUGCGACGGCCCCGGCGGGGCCCGGGGGAGCAGAGCCAACCAACCCGCUUUUCCGCGGAGGAGCCCCUGACCCCUUGCUCUGCACCGCUCCGCACGGCGGGGUGCGCCCAGCUUGCCCGUCCUACGGCAGAUGGACGAAUCGCUAGGAUUAUAUUGUUCUGGGAGGGUGGGUGCUUCUUGUUGUUGUUGAUUUUUUUUCCUUGCCACAUUUCUGUAGGUUGAUCUGUGGCAUGUUGUUUUCAUUCAUUGCCUUUUUAAAAUAAAUGGGUGGAAUUAAAUUUAUCGAACAACCUGUGAUCCAUAUGUCUGUCCGAUUAAUUUUUUUAUGGGAUGAUGAAAGAGAGAAGAAUCUCUCUAUAUAGUGAUCUGCUAAAGGAAUAAUAUCUAUAUUCAAAACACCUUUCUGGGGUUACAUUUACUUCCGGACGUUAAAAUGCAGUCCGGGUUUUUAGGCAGUUGGGUGAGGCGCUACUUAUUUGAUGUAGGAGAAUCGCAUAUUUACACUUCCCGAAAAAAAAUAGUAAUUAAAAAAAAAAAGGUGUUUAAACUGUUUUCCACCAGAAGGGUAUUUUCCUUCGCUGUCUUCGAAAAUCUCGAGUGACAUUUAGGGGAUGGUUAUGACCGUAUUUUGCCAUCCACGGUGUGAUUUUCGCAAAUGUUUUCGAACGUUAAAGCCGAGUGCCAUUAGAAAGUCAAAUAUCCACAGCGUCCUUUUCUCCUUAAAAACACGAUUUUCUGUAACUUCCCAGCAGGGGACCAUAGGAACGGUCACCAAUGAAAACAUCUUUAUAUCAUUAUACGCUUUUUCCCCCAGUGAAAUCGCUUCACCCUAAGGAGACACGGUGUAUAAAACUGACAGCAGGUAGCUGACGGCGACUGGUCAGUGAAACAUGACCAAUUAAAGAAAAAUUAUGGACGCCGGUGAGAAAAUCGUAUGUAAACUCUGUUUCUGUGCAUCCCAAUUGC